UAUGUAGGUGUCCUGACAAGUCUUUUUUGAAAUACAUCGGCUCAACCGGUGUCCUGGAAAAGAAACUGUUAGGAUUGAGUAUUGGAGAGGGAAGCGGAAUUCCUGGUGUAAGGGUGAAAUCUGUAGAUAUCAGGAGGAACACCAACGGCGAAAGCAGCUUUCUGGCCAAAUACUGACACUGAAAUACGAAAGCUAGGGGAGCAAACAGGAUUAGAUACCCUGGUAGUCC
rnacentral:rRNA from 1 species